rnacentral:rRNA from 1 species
GACGAACGCUGGCGGCGUGCCUAAUACAUGCAAGUCGGACGCAGUUGCGAACGGGUGAGUAACGCGUAGGUAACUACCUUUUAGAGGGGUAUAACUAUUUGAAACGAUCGCUAAUACCGCCUACUAGUAGAUGGGUCUUCGUUGUAUUUGCUAGUAGGUCGGGCAAUGGCCUACCUAGGCAACGGUACAUUGCCGACCUGAGGGGGGGUGCGGCCAAACUGGGAAUGAGAAACGGCCCAGACUCCUUCCGGAGGCAGCAGUAGGGAAUCUUCGGCAAUGGGGGGAACCCUGGACGAGCAAAGGCGCGGGGUUGGAGAAGGUUUUCGGAGCGUAAAGGUCUGUUGUUAAGGAAGCGGUACUUAACCAGAAAGUGACGGCUAACUACGUGCCAGCAGCCGCGGUAAUUC